AACCUAUGGACAGUGAUUAGCAAGCAUCAGCUCUGCCCUUCUUAUUUGACUGUUGCACCUCUGGGUGUGCCCACUGACUUUCCAUGCCAAGUACAAGCAGUUCACAUCCCCAUCUCAAGCCAUAAAUCAAAAAGAUUAUUGAUCUCCCAGCACAUUCACUGAUAAAAGGAAAUACCAGCAACUCCAUGCAUCUGAGCAUACAACUUAUAUGGACUUCUAGCAAGUGAUCCCCUGGACUUAAAAACAUGUCUGAAUCCUGGCUGGGACAGUUUGGCUUUAAGUAGUACAUCAAAUUCAGAUCUUUUCAGGAAGGAAACUUCUGCCAUCAGUUGGCCAAUGCUGUUCCAUCAGUGAGUAUUCAGUGUCACUAACCAACAGAAUGACCAAGAAAUCAUUCCAGUCAGAAAAGGCCCAAGUACCAACGAUUGGACAGUCGUGAUUUAUAUUUGUGCCUGAUAUGACCAACAUAAGUCACACUGGUUAUGCAUGGAAAUGCAACCAUCAGCUGACAAGAACUGAAACUUAUGACUCAUGCUGUGUCAACUCUGAGCCAAAGCAGUCAGUCAACUCAAAGGGAGUAAACAUCAGUCAAACAGAUGAUUUGGCAGCCUAACUAUUUAACAACUGAUGAUGACUGGAAUUUUCACUUUUCCAUCAGUCACAUAGACUUGUCUCAGGAAGAGAAAUAACUGAAGUUUAGAGUAGUUUUCUUUUGAUUUUUCAUAAAAGUCAUUCAUCCCAAAACAUUUGCUGAAUG
rnacentral:lncRNA from 1 species